rnacentral:rRNA from 1 species
GACGAACGCUGGCGGCGUGCCUAAUACAUGCAAGUCGAGCGGACAGAUGGGAGCUUGCUCCCUGAUGUUAGCGGCGGACGGGUGAGUAACACGUGGGUAACCUGCCUGUAAGACUGGGAUAACUCCGGGAAACCGGGGCUAAUACCGGAUGGUUGUUUGAACCGCAUGGUUCAAACAUAAAAGGUGGCUUCGGCUACCACUUACAGAUGGACCCGCGGCGCAUUAGCUAGUUGGUGAGGUAACGGCUCACCAAGGCAACGAUGCGUAGCCGACCUGAGAGGGUGAUCGGCCACACUGGGACUGAGACACGGCCCAGACUCCUACGGGAGGCAGCAGUAGGGAAUCUUCCGCAAUGGACGAAAGUCUGACGGAGCAACGCCGCGUGAGUGAUGAAGGUUUUCGGAUCGUAAAGCUCUGUUGUUAGGGAAGAACAAGUACCGUUC